UUGUGGACUCUUCAGGACCUGCUCAGUAACACAACAGUGUUCCUGUAGCCAGUUUGCAGCUACACAUACUGAGGCUGUCUCUACAGAAGUUCCCGGAAGGAGUCCAGACGGACGAGCGCUAACCUGCCUCAGUGGACAAAGAAAGAAGAGACUCCAGGACGGCAUCCAUUUCUGGGACGUGGUCAGUCCUCCGGAUGACAACUCAGCACGGACGAUACGUCUAUGGAAGCCCUGAUGGAUUCUGAGCAGAGGACUCCACUGUGCCUGAACUCCUCACCCACAGAAACUGUGAGACCACACGUGUGUGUUAGUUUAAGUCUGAGGUAAGGUACCGUCUCUGUCAGGGCAGGGAGUGCCAUUUGCUCGCUGCUACCUUCUUAGUUUGGUGGGUGGCCCUGCACACGAGGGAUACUAGUAAUGAUAGCUGAAAGGGCAUGACUGGUUGCAUGAUGAAGAGUAACUGUGAUGAGGGAAGAAGGGAGAAGUUGUGGCCUGGAAAGUAAUAGCUUUGCAUUCUGGAAAGGACUUGGUGUUGUUGCUGAAUGUUUUCUGAAGCUGUGGCAAUCUCUAAAGACAAACACAGUUCUAGCAUGAACUGAUUCAUGUUUGCCGAACAGGUUGGCACUCUGGACCUCAAAUACGAGGGUCAGAACCCCAUUUAUGCCACUUAUGAACCUUGAAGCUCUCAUCCCAUUGUAGCUUCCUUGGUCUCCAUCUCCUUAUUUGAAUGAUGCAGAUAAUAAUACCUCACAGGAACAGGAUUAAGCCAACUAUGCAAUGGAAAGACAUCCCUGAAAGCACCUCAGGCCAUGUGGUUUGACUUCCUUCUUUUCUUCCACAGCCAAUCCUCAACUAUGGUUCUCCUGAAAACAAAAUGAGUCUAGUACCUUCUAUUCCAUGCAUGUUAUGGAUUUUAUUCUUAUUAUUUUUAUUACUCAUGGAGAAAGGCAACAAACCAGAAGCUCCCUGAGCUGAGGGAGGUUCCAGAAGAUGAAGAUCUCUCUGUCUCCUUCUCUAUCCCUAGUGGCCUUCCAAAUUAUAAGGCACAGCAUUUUGCACAUAGGUUACAUUCAUUCAUGUAAUCAUCCAUCCAAUAAAUAUACAUUGAAAACAUCAUUUAUGCCAAGCAUAUAAAAUAGAAAAAUAACUAUAAUUCUUCAAAGAGAUCUGUAUGGUUCCAAGAGUUAAUGUUUUGCUUUGAUUUUCUGUAGCUGGAUCAGCAACAGAAUUCUGCAGCAUAAGAGAUGAUGGUCAGACCAGAGUGAGCCAGGAUGUUACCUUAAUUGAAGCAUCAUUCACACUUAUAAGAUGAACACUGUUUUAAUAGGUAAGACCCUAUCUUCCUACACCUAUAGGAAGAUCUGAAAGCAGAUGGUUAGCAUAUUUCCCAGUGAGAGACGGAGAUAGAGAAUCCCAAGCAGGCUCCGCACUGUCAGCACAGAGCCUGAUGUAGGGCUCAAACUCAUGAACCAUGAGAUCAUGACCUGAGCCAAAAU